GUGCUCCACUUCAGCAGCACAUAUACUAAAAUUGAAAUGAUACAGAAGAUUAGCAUGGCCCCUGCACAUGGAUGACAUGCAAAUUUAUGGAGCAUACCAUAUUUCU